rnacentral:rRNA from 1 species
UUGGCGGCGGCUACCAUGCAAGUCGAGCGGUAGCACAGAGAGCUUGCUCUCGGGUGACGAGCGGCGGACGGGUGAGUAAUGUCUGGGAAACUGCCUGAUGGAGGGGGAUAACUACUGGAAACGGUAGCUAAUACCGCAUAACGUCGCAAGACCAAAGUGGGGGACCUUCGGGCCUCAUGCCAUCAGAUGUGCCCAGAUGGGAUUAGCUGGUAGGUGGGGUAACGGCUCACCUAGGCGACGAUCCCUAGCUGGUCUGAGAGGAUGACCAGCCACACUGGAACUGAGACACGGUCCAGACUCCUACGGGAGGCAGCAGUGGGGAAUAUUGCACAAUGGGCGCAAGCCUGAUGCAGCCAUGCCGCGUGUGUGAAGAAGGCCUUCGGGUUGUAAAGCACUUUCAGCGGGGAGGAAGGCGGUGAGGUUAAUAACCUCAUCGAUUGACGUUACCCGCAGAAGAAGCACCGGCUAACUCCGUGCCAGCAGCCGCGGUAAUACGGAGGGUGCAAGCGUUAAUCGGAAUUACUGGGCGUAAAGCGCACGCAGGCGGUCUGUCAAGUCGGAUGUGAAAUCCCCGGGCUCAACCUGGGAACUGCAUUCGAAACUGGCAGGCUAGAGUCUUGUAGAGGGGGGUAGAAUUCCAGGUGUAGCGGUGAAAUGCGUAGAGAUCUGGAGGAAUACCGGUGGCGAAGGCGGCCCCCUGGACAAAGACUGACGCUCAGGUGCGAAAGCGUGGGGAGCAAACAGGAUUAGAUACCCUGGUAGUCCACGCUGUAAACGAUGUCGAUUUGGAGGUUGUGCCCUUGAGGCGUGGCUUCCGGAGCUAACGCGUUAAAUCGACCGCCUGGGGAGUACGGCCGCAAGGUUAAAACUCAAAUGAAUUGACGGGGGCCCGCACAAGCGGUGGAGCAUGUGGUUUAAUUCGAUGCAACGCGAAGAACCUUACCUGGUCUUGACAUCCACAGAACUUUCCAGAGAUGGAUUGGUGCCUUCGGGAACUGUGAGACAGGUGCUGCAUGGCUGUCGUCAGCUCGUGUUGUGAAAUGUUGGGUUAAGUCCCGCAACGAGCGCAACCCUUAUCCUUUGUUGCCAGCGGUUCGGCCGGGAACUCAAAGGAGACUGCCAGUGAUAAACUGGAGGAAGGUGGGGAUGACGUCAAGUCAUCAUGGCCCUUACGACCAGGGCUACACACGUGCUACAAUGGCAUAUACAAAGAGAAGCGACCUCGCGAGAGCAAGCGGACCUCAUAAAGUAUGUCGUAGUCCGGAUUGGAGUCUGCAACUCGACUCCAUGAAGUCGGAAUCGCUAGUAAUCGUAGAUCAGAAUGCUACGGUGAAUACGUUCCCGGGCCUUGUACACACCGCCCGUCACACCAUGGGAGUGGGUUGCAAAAGAAGUAGGUAGCUUAACCUUCGGGAGGGCGCUACCACUUUGGAUCC